rnacentral:rRNA from 1 species
GACGAACGCUGGCGGCGUGCCUAAUACAUGCGAGUAGAACGCUGAAGGAGGAGCUUGCUUCUCUGGAUGAGUUGCGAACGGGUGAGUAACGCGUAGGUAACCUGCCUGGUAGCGGGGGAUAACUAUUGGAAACGAUAGCUAAUACCGCAUAAGAGUAGAUGUUGCAUGACAUUUACUUAAAAGGUGCAAUUGCAUCACUACCAGAUGGACCUGCGUUGUAUUAGCUAGUUGGUGAGGUAACGGCUCACCAAGGCAACGAUACAUAGCCGACCUGAGAGGGUGAUCGGCCACACUGGGACUGAGACACGGCCCAGACUCCUACGGGAGGCAGCAGUAGGGAAUCUUCGGCAAUGGACGGAAGUCUGACCGAGCAACGCCGCGUGAGUGAAGAAGGUUUUCGGAUCGUAAAGCUCUGUUGUAAGAGAAGAACGAGUGUGAGAGUGGAAAGUUCACACUGUGACGGUAUCUUACCAGAAAGGGACGGCUAACUACGUG